rnacentral:rRNA from 1 species
GACGUAGGUGGCGAACGUUAUCCGGAAUUACUGGGCGUAAAGGGCGCGUAGGCGGGUCGUUUAGUUAGAGGUGAAAGCCCAGGGCUCAACCCUGGAAUUGCCUUUAAUACUGGCGGCCUUGAGUAUGGCAGAGGUGUGUGGAACUCCGAGUGUAGAGGUGAAAUUCGUAGAUAUUCGGAAGAACACCAGUGGCGAAGGCGACACACUGGGCCAUUACUGACGCUGAGGCGCGAAAGCGUGGGGAGCAAACAGG